rnacentral:rRNA from 1 species
GGCAUGCGUUCCAUUAGACAGUAGGCGGGGUAACGGCCCACCUAGUCGUCGAUGGAUAGGGGUUCUGAGAGGAAGGUCCCCCACAUUGGAACUGAGACACGGACCAAACUCCUACGGGAGGCAGCAGUGAGGAAUAUUGGUCAAUGGGCGAAAGCCUGAACCAGCCAAGUAGCGUGAGGGAUGAAGGUUCUAUGGAUCGUAAACUUCUUUUAUAAGGGAAUAAAGUCCGGUACGUAUACCCGUUUGCAUGUACCUUAUGAAUAAGGAUCGGCUAACUCCGUGCCAGCAGCCGCGGUAAUACGGAGGAUCCGAGCGUUAUCCGGAUUUAUUGGGUUUAAAGGGAGCGUAGACGCACUUUUAAGUCAGCGGUGAAGUCUGUGGCUCAACCAUAGAAUUGCCGUGAUACUGGUAUCUUGAGACAUUUGAGGCAGGCGGAUGUCGUGGUGUAGCGGUGAAUGCAUAGAUAUCACGCAGAACUCCGAUUGCGAAGGCAG